rnacentral:rRNA from 1 species
UGGGGAAUCUUGGACAAUGGGCGCAAGCCUGAUCCAGCCAUGCCGCGUGAGCGAUGAAGGCCUUAGGGUUGUAAAGCUCUUUCACCGGUGAAGAUAAUGACGGUAGCAGGUAAAGAAACCCCGGCUAACUCCGUGCCAGCAGCCGCGGUAAUACGGAGGGGGUUAGCGUUGUUCGGAAUUACUGGGCGUAAAGCGCACGUAGGCGGACCAGAAAGUUGGGGGUGAAAUCCCGGGGGCUCAACCCCGGAACUGCCUCCAAAACUAUUGGUCUAGAGUUCGAGAGAGGUGAGUGGAAUUCCAAGUGUAGAGGUGAAAUUCGUAGAUAUUUGGAGGAACACCAGUGGCGAAGGCGGCUCACUGGCUCGAUACUGACGCUGAGGUGCGAAAGUGUGGGGAGCAAACAGGAUUAGAUACCCUGGGUAGUCCACACCGUAAAACGAUGAAUGCCAGUCGUCGGGUAGCAUGCUAUUCGGUGACACACCU